rnacentral:rRNA from 1 species
GUCAGAGUCAUAUCACCCUGCAGUUCUCACCUGGUUUCCCUCUAAAGCUAAGCAGGGUUGAGCCUGGCCAGUACUUGGAUAGGAGACCUCCUGAGGAAAACUAAAGUUGCUGCUGGAA